rnacentral:rRNA from 1 species
UAAGCAUGCAAGUCGAACGGUAUUAUCGUUCUAUUUAUAGAAUGAUAAGAGAGUGGCGAACGGGUGAGUAACACGUAGGUAAUCUGCCUAUCAAAUUGGGAUAGUCAGUGGAAACACUGAGUAAUACCAAAUACGUACUAUGUGAGGAAUUGCAUAGUAGAAAGGGUACAUCUGUGCCGUUGAUAGAGGAGCCUGCGCUUGAUUAGCUAGUUGGUGGGGUAAGAGCCCACCAAGGCGACGAUCAAUAGCCGGCCUGAGAGGGUGAACGGCCACACUGGGACUGAGACACGGCCCAGACUCCUACGGGAGGCAGCAGCUAAGAAUCUUCCGCAAUGGGCGAAAGCCUGACGGAGCGACACCGCGUGAAUGAAGAAGGCCGUGAGGUUGUAAAAUUCUUUUCUUGUUGAGGAAUAAAUAUUAUGCGCAAGUGUAAUAUGAUGACGGUAGGCAAGGAAUAAGCCCCGGCUAAUUACGUGCCAGCAGCCGCGGUAAUACGUAAGGGGCGAGCGUUGUUCGGAAUUAUUGGGCGUAAAGGGUACGUAGGCGGAUUAACAGGCAUUAAGAUAAAGCCAACAGCUCAACUGUUGUUAAUUUUAAUGAACCGUUAAUCUAGAGUUAUAGAGGGGAAACUGGAAUUCCUGGUGUAAGGGUGAAAUCUGUAGAUAUCAGGAGGAACAUCAGAGGCGAAGGCGAGUUUCUGGCUAAUAACUGACGCUGAGGUACGAGAGCGUGGGGAGCGAACGGGAUUAGAUACCCCGGUAGUCCACGCCGUAAACGAUGUGCACUAGGUGGUGGAUCUGCGAAGAUUCACUACCGUAGCUAACGUGUUAAGUGCACCGCCUGGGGAGUAUGCUCGCAAGGG